rnacentral:rRNA from 1 species
UGAACGCUAGCGGUAGGCUUAACACAUGCAAGUCGAGGGGUAACGAUGUCUUCGGACAGGCGACGACCGGCGCACGGGUGAGUAACGCGUAUGCAACCUACCUGUAACAGAGAGAUAGCCCGAAGAAAUUCGGAUUAAUACCUCAUAACACUAUUUAUUCGCAUGAAUAAAUAUUUAAAGCUCCGGCGGUUACAGAUGGGCAUGCGUGACAUUAGUUUGUUGGUGAGGUAACGGCUCACCAAGACUGCGAUGUCUAGGGGGUCUUAAAGGAUGAUCCCCCACACUGGUACUGAGACACGGACCAGACUCCUACGGGAGGCAGCAGUGGGGAAUAUUGGUCAAUGGGCGCAAGCCUGAACCAGCCACUCCGCGUGUAGGAUGACUGCCCUAUGGGUUGUAAACUACUUUUAUACAGGAAGAAACCUCCAUACGUGUAUGGGGCUGACUGUACUGUAAGAAUAAGCAUCGGCUAACUCC